GGGCAGGACCCAGAAGAAUGGGAAGAAGGACCUUGCAGGAAAGGAAGAGGCACAGAGAGACAGGGUGGCCCAGCCGGCGAAGUGGAGCGUUGUCCUGUCUCACCCGGCAGGAGUGAGGGGAUGGAUGGCCGAGGAGGUGCAGUUCUCGCCUGUGCCCAGCAGGCGGACGGCUGGGAGCCCUGCCAGCUCUGAACGUUGCUCCUGGCUGCGCUGAGAACUGCGGCCAGGGCUGGGCUCCUUGUUAUCAUCAGGUAAAUCUCUGAGCAGGA
ensembl:lncRNA